rnacentral:lncRNA from 1 species
CUCGAACCGGUUACCUUCGCAGCCGGAUUUUGAGUCUUGAUAUUCCUGUUUUUGAUACUCUUUAUAUAUAUGAUCUUGCGUUAGCUUAUCCUUUGCUCGUUGUGUUAGUGAUCGGAGUGUUGCGCUUUCGAGUUGCGGUUUUUGUUUAUCCCUUUUUUCUACAAGGCUCCUAGUUAUAAUCAAUCAUUCAUACUACUAUACGUACUAAAUUUUUGUUUUAGAGGUCGUAAUACCUUGCCAUCUCUGAAUUAUGACUUAAGCAUAAGUCUCUGUAUGGUAGGGUGUUACA